AUCCACUUCUGUGUUUGCCAGACACUGGCAUAGCCUCACGGGAGACAUACAUGAUUUUAAUAACGAGGGAGAAAGAUAAAUUCAUCAUCUGUUAACGAAUUCCAUUGUAGUAUCCGGAAGCCUAAUAAGUGGAUUGUAUCAUUUCCUCUUUUAGAGACAGUAACUCAAGAACACAUGGACCUUGGGAACUAAAGGUAUGGUAUGUCUAGUGGGUCAGACAGCAAGCUCAGGAAAACGUAACACUACAGCCUGCUCGGUGCAGCGCAUGUGCUUUGAGCCAAGCAGAUGUGAUCGAUGGCUGCAUUUGCUCCUGAGGAUGGUAUAGACCAUGCUCGGAGAAAAUGCACACCCACCAGUCCCUGCAAAGUCCAUCUGAGAGACUGCCCCGGAAAAGGGAGUUCUGAGGCUACUCUUUAGGAAUUGAAGUGUCCGUGUCAAGGUCCACGUGGCCUAGCAAAGACGCAGGUUGACAGAGGCCACAGCCACUGUAGCGCUCAUAAAAACCACCGGCCUGACCAUAUCACUACAGACUCGGGAGAAAGAAGACUUCAGGGGGCUAUUUUAAGAAAAUGAUUGCAUUUGAUAUGUGAAACUCUGUGACAAGGUAAGUACUGUUUCCAACAAAAACUAGAGAAAUAUUAAGCACAGUCAGAUAAUGGAAGUGGCUAUUCCCAGAUGCCCUUCAGAGCCUGCAUCCUGUGAACACUGCCAUUUGUCUGCAGCUAACUGAGUUUCUUAUUUAGACUGGAAUGUUAUGUUCCAACCACUAACGUAUAGGUCAUAGUAUCAAGUAGCUAGGUCAGGUUGUUAGGGGUAUUUGUUCUAUUGUUUUGUUUGUUUUUUAAAAUUCUGUAAAGAGAAUUAAAGUUGUCUACUCCAGUGUCGCUUACCAAUUUAUGUAAAGAUGUGAUAUAUCAAAAUAUAUGCUUUGAUUUAUUUUUUUUUAACCUUUUUUAAAAAAAUCAAUAAAUUCCGUUGGUUUUGGUUUUGGCCCUAGG
rnacentral:lncRNA from 1 species